UUUUACUGUUCUUCCUUUAGAAUUCAUGUUGGAAUCUCACCUUACCCUACUUAUAAAUGUAUAUAAUAUAUAUUUACAUAUGUAUAUUACACACACACACACACACACAUACAUCUCCCUCUCUCAGCUACAACUCUGACAAGUUGCCUUCCCUCUAAUACCUAAUCUGGUGAUCAUUCUUUGUCUGGUUAAACUUGUGAUAGAGGAAGCAUGGUAAACCACUGGCUGGUUUUUAAAAUUUCUGCCUGGAAAUGACACACAUCAUAGGGGCUUACAUUCCAUCCAGAUUUAACAAGAUGGAAUGUAUAAUACCAUCACAGAAAGGCACAACAAAUUUUAAUUGUCUUACAAUCCACCCUGUCAUUUUUUUUAACCCACCUUGCCACUUUAUCCCCAGAGUUUAUCAUGUGGAUAGAUAGAUAGGUAUCAGAAUGUUUUUUCGAAGAUAAAAUUUUUAAUGUAAACAGCAUAGUAUAUCUGAGCACUAAAAUAGAUGAACAAAAUAAAAGAGAAGUUAAGGUUUACAAAAAGUAAGUCAGAGAGGAAGUAAAUUGGAGAGGAGGUGAGUUUGGAGUAGGAUUUUUA
rnacentral:lncRNA from 1 species